AUUGAACGCUGGCGGCAGGCCUAACACAUGCAAGUCGAACGAGUGGCGGACGGGUGAGUAAUGUCUCGGAACCUGCCUGAUGGUGGGGGAUAACUACUGUAAACGGUGGCUAAUACCGCAUACCAUCAGAUGUGCCCAUAUGGGAUUAGCUUGUUGGUGGGGUAACGGCUCACCAAGGCGACGAUCCCUCGAUGGUCUGAGAGGAUGACCAUCCAGACUGGAACUGAGACACGGCCCAGACUCCUACGGGAGGCAGCAGUGGGGAAUGUUGCACAAUGGGCGAAAGCCUGAUGCAGCCAUGCCGCGUGUAUGAAGAAGGCCUUCGGGUUGUAAAGUACUUUUGGCGGGGAGGCGGUACCCGCAGAAGAAGCACCGGCUAACUACGUGCCAGCAGCCGCGGUAAUUC
rnacentral:rRNA from 1 species